CAGGACGAACGCUGGCGGCGUGCUUAACACAUGCAAGUCGAACGGUGAACUCCGCUUGCGGGGGGAUCAGUGGCGAACGGGUGAGUAACACGUGGGCAACCUGCCCUCAGCUCUGGGAUAACUCCAAGAAAUUGGGCUAAUACUGGAUAUGACUGCUGACCGCAUGGUCUGGUGGUA
rnacentral:rRNA from 1 species